AGCCGACAGGGACGCAGGGAGCGGGACGGCGGCCGCGAUGAACCUGGAGCUGCUCGAGUCCUUCGGCCAGAACUACCCCGAGGAGGCCGAUGGCACCUUGGACUGCAUCAGCAUGGCCCUGACGUGCACCUUCAACCGCUGGGGCACCCUGCUCGCUGUGGGCUGCAACGAUGGGCGCAUCGUCAUCUGGGACUUCUUGACGAGGGGUAUAGCCAAAAUCAUCAGCGCGCAUAUUCACCCCGUCUGCUCUUUAUGCUGGAGUCGAGAUGGUCACAAAUUGGUGAGUGCUUCGACCGAUAACAUUGUAUCGCAGUGGGAUGUUCUCUCUGGAGACUGUGACCAGAGAUUUCGAUUUCCUUCGCCUAUCUUGAAAGUUCAGUACCACCCUCGAGACCAAAACAGAGUUUUGGUUUGUCCCAUGAAGUCUGCACCAGUGAUGUUAACACUGUCUGACUCCAAACAUGUUGUUCUACCUGUGGAUGAUGAUUCAGAUCUCAAUGUUGUGGCCUCCUUUGACAGACGAGGGGAAUACAUUUAUACAGGCAAUGCCAAGGGGAAGAUCUUGGUCUUAAAAACAGAUACUCAGGAUCUUGUUGCUUCCUUCAGAGUGACAACUGGAACCAGCAACACCACGGCUAUUAAAUCAAUUGAAUUUGCUCGGAAAGGAAGCUGCUUUUUGAUAAACACAGCUGACCGGAUAAUCAGAGUGUAUGAUGGGCGUGAAAUUUUAACCUGUGGACGAGAUGGGGAGCCUGAACCAAUGCAGAAACUACAGGAUUUAGUUAAUAGGACACCGUGGAAGAAGUGCUGUUUCUCUGGGGAUGGUGAGUACAUAGUGGCAGGUUCAGCACGACAGCAUGCCCUGUACAUUUGGGAAAAAAGUAUUGGAAACCUAGUGAAAAUCCUCCAUGGGACUAGAGGAGAGCUGCUUUUGGAUGUAGCAUGGCAUCCUGUCCGACCGAUCAUAGCAUCUAUUUCCAGUGGUGUAGUGUCUAUAUGGGCUCAGAAUCAAGUGGAAAACUGGAGUGCCUUUGCACCUGACUUCAAAGAGCUAGAUGAAAAUGUUGAGUAUGAAGAGAGGGAAUCAGAGUUUGACAUUGAAGAUGAAGAUAAGAGUGAACCAGAACAAACAGGUGCUGAUGCUGCAGAAGAUGAAGAAGUGGAUGUAACUAGUGUGGAUCCCAUUGCUGCCUUCUGUAGCAGUGAUGAAGAACUGGAGGACUCAAAGGCUUUGCUUUACUUGCCCAUUGCUCCUGAAGUGGAAGACCCAGAAGAAAACCCCUAUGGUCCUCCACCUGAUGCUGUUCAGAGUUCUUUAACUGAUGAGGGAAUAGGUUCUGAGAAGAAAAGGCAAUCCUCCUCUGAUGGACCUCAGGCACCAAAGAAGAAGCCCAAAACCACCAACAUUGAACUACAAGGAGUACCUAAUGAUGAAGUCCAUCCGCUGCUGGGUGUGAAGGGAGAUGGUAAAUCCAAGAAGAAGCAAGCAGGCAGGCCUAAAGGAUCAAAAGGUAAAGACAAAGAUUCUCCAUUUAAACCGAAACUCUACAAAGGGGACAGAGGUGCUUUACCUCUGGAAGGAGCAGCGAAGGGUAAAGUGCAGGCGGAGCUGGGACAGCCUUUGGCAGAAUCCAGAAAUUAAAACAGAUACUAGUCAAAAAGAUCUUCAAACCUUGUUCCAAGUCCAGGAGGUGUUGAUUACGUCUAGUGUCAGAUUUGCCAGACAGGCAGGUGGUGCAAUCUCAGAAUUGUUAUGAAGACACUCUUCUUUAUCUUCCUGUAUUCUUUCCUAUAUUGGCACCAUAAUGUGGGAAAAUAGAUGGAAGCACUCAGUCAGAAUGGACUGACUUUAAUACAGCAGCCUGAUUGUUCAUGGAUUCAGGGAGUGACUUUUAUAAGAAAUGAAUUAUAGAAGAGGAAACGGCCUUCAUUCCUUCUUAACUGCCUCUUCAUCGAACAGUGUAAGAUGCUGACUCUCAGGUCAUGUGAUUCGCAAAGAGACUAAUUGGACUGACUACCUUCAUGUUGACAUGUGUAACUCUUUCUAAAAUGAGCUGGUACCCAACACUGCCACUCCAGAGCUUCUCAACCAUUGACUUCUAAGCAUUUUUUGUUCCUGGAUGGAAGAAUACCCAAAGUGUGUUUUUAUUCCCGAUGCUGUAUGAUUGUAUAUCCUCCAAACUUCCAUUUCUUUGCUGUUAGUUUUCAUUUCAGUGAGUUGUAAUUGUGCUCCUUCUAUACCAGCUGCAUUACCUUAUCAGCUUUUCUGUUAGCUCAGUGUGAUGUCUGCUAUGCUGACAUGCCCAGUGAAACACUGCUGCUGAUUAUGCGCCAGGUUUGAUUUAAUCUUAAGUGGAUAGAGAUUUCGUGAAGAAUCAGGACACCCUCUGAAGUCUACAAAGAAUAAAUUGUAAUAUUGUGACUAUUUUAGACAAGAAGGAUGAAUCUGCUUUUGGGAAAAUGAACAAGAGAAAGUAGCUCUAGAUGAAAGACUCAAAGUUUAUAUAGACUGUCUUCUAGACAGUAAUAUGAAAGGUUGUGCUGGCACUUUCUUUCUGUCUUGCAGAUGUUUUAUUCUGUCUCUUUCCUGUUAUGUGCUCUACUAGAAGUAACUGGUUUCCUCCUUAGCUGAUGUGUGCUGGCAGUUAGAGAAGAAACAGAGCCAAUAUUUAUCCUAGUUCAAACAGUAGUUUUCCAGCUUCUCAUCUAAGACUUGAAAAAGAUGAGAAUAACAGCCUGAGUAUAAAACAACAUACAGAUCUUGAGUUUUUAAAACGCUUAUUUUCUUUACACUUGCGGAUCAAGAAUAGAUGAAAGAUGACUGCUAGCAGCUUAUUCCCAACAGUGCUUUGAUUUUUUUUUCUCUCAAUAACCUGUGUAACGUUUUCCUUCUGGAAAUGGAAAGAGACAAUUUCUCGAUCCCGUACGUACUGAACCAAAAGCCUGUUAAAAGAAGAUCUCUGUUCUUUAAUGCCCCUUGAUUUGUAGAUGUUUUUGUAGUUCCCAGGCAAUUACUUUCAAAUUUUUCCCAGACAUAAUUAUAUAAAUUACGACUGUAUGUUUAAUUUUUCAAAAUAUCCUGCUGCAGCCAAGAAGAAGAGUCAUAAAGAUAUUUAUUAAUUUGCAGUUGUACAUAUACAGUAGUUGCAUGAGAUUUAAAUAUGGAAAGAGAGCAGACAUUUUAAAUCAGAACUUUUUUAAAAAAAUAUUUUCAUUUAUGGCUUUGGUACAGUGGCCUGCUUCUUUUGAUGAAAUUAAUUCCUGUGGUGAAUGAUGUUAGUCUUCCUUGUCCUUUUUGCUUCUAGGACAACUCACAACUUUGUGGAACACUGUUAAUGUCAAAUCCAUCCAUUUGUGGUGUGUCUGAGCCCAAUCUAAGCUUUAAAGAUGCACAGGCAAUGGUUCUCAAGAUUCUUUUAAGCGUACAAGUUGCCACAGGCUCCAGCUUUCACUUCUGUUAAAACUUCUCUGUACAGUGUAUAUGUCCUUGGUUUAUUUCCUUCCAUCUUUUAUUUUUUGAUAUCUGUAGUUUUGUACAAUAUUUGUCAGAUACAGGCUUGUCGGUAGUAUAUAGCAGUGAUGUUAGUUCUUGUGUUUGUAAAUAAAGAGGUAUGUUUUAUUUCCUAAAGUU